UACGUAGGCAGCGAGCGUUGUUCGGAGUUACUGGGCGUAAAGGGUGUGUAGGCGGUUGUUUAAGUUUGGUGUGAAAUCUCCCGGCUCAACUGGGAGGGUGCGCCGAAUACUGAAUGACUUGGAGUGCGGGAGAGGUGAGUGGAAUUCCUAGUGUAGAGGUGAAAUUCGUAGAUAUUAGGAAGAACACCAGUGGCGAAGGCGGCUCACUGGCCCGGUACUGACGCUGAGGCGCGAAAGCGUGGGGAGCAAACAGG
rnacentral:rRNA from 1 species